AACAGUUAGCACCUUUUAUUUGUCAGGGAACAAAGUGAAUCUGCAGUCUGCAGCUGUUGAACAGAACAUAUGUCCUCUGAUGAGGACACAGAAGACAAGUUGUACUCUGACAGCAGAGUGGCAGUAACAUGUGUAGAGUGUAAAGUUGUCAGUAGGGAGUAACACAGGGCUGUGAAUGAGCCCUGUCACUGUGAUCAGGCUCCUCCUUCUAAUCCACCAACUGAGUGUUGAUGAAGACUGAACACAGAGAUCACAGCCUUCUUUACACUUGCUGGAGCUCACACUUACUCAACACUGCACAUAUGAUGCAGCCUCUGUUCAUCUCAGGGCUGCUGGCUGUUAUGUGUCUCGGAUGCAGAGCACAACAAGACAACGUGCUGCAGCCAGAAGGAGAUGUGACUGCUGCUGAAGGAGAGGCAGUAACACUCGGCUGUCAAUAUAACAGCAGUUCAUCAAGUCCAUCUCUCUUCUGGUACAAACAGGAUGGAGACAACAGCCCCAAAUUCAUCCUGAGCCGCUUUACGAUUGGUACAGGGAACACAGAGGACGAAUAUAAGGAGAGAUUUUCAUCCACACUGAAUCCAACCUUAAGAUCAGUUCCUCUGAAGAUCCAGAAGCUUCAGCUGUCUGACUCUGCUGUGUACUACUGUGCUCUGCAGCCCACAGUGACAGGAAACACCAAAACUCUGUACAAAAACCUUUGGAGCAAAGACAACACAAUACUCCACAACAUCCACUAGAGGGAGUCAC